CGUCGCUGCCAUGAAUGCUGCGGGGACCAUCGUUGCAAUUUAAUUAAUUGACCAUGUUGGUCGGAAAAAACUGGCCCUCGCGAGUUUAUCCGGUGUGUUGGCAUCCUUGGCAAUUCUCUCCGGUGCAUUCUUUGCAGAAUCCUCCGAUUCCACAAACCGGGUAUACAGUGAACUCGGAGAUAUACCCCGAGGCAUAUCGUGGAAUAUGUGGUGGCAUGUCGGCCUCCGUCAGUUGGAUUUCAAACUUGAUUGUGGCUCAGACAUUUCUUAGCAUCGCUGACGCCGUGGGGAAAGGUGCGACGUUCUUGACUCUUGCGUGCGUAGCCGUGUUGGCCUCGUGUUUGUGGUCAUAUUUGUGUGGAGAAGAUAUGGAAAGAGAGAGCUUGUGGAAGUAGCGAAGGAAAAGACAGUACAGACGGCCUCCUUGAAGAUGAAGCUCGAGUGGUACGAACCCUUGUUUAUCCAUUAGAUAUAGUAGGUACAGCAAUAGAAUGAGCAUCCAGCAGAUCUGCCCCUUUGCCUGGAGUGUUAGUUAAGGUUGACGGGUCCAUUGGCUGCGGAUAGUUUCCAACUUAAGGAAAUAAAUGUGUAUUCCGGAUUUUGCGUUGCCCUAAAAUGCCAACUGCGAGUUUCUUGACUGUAUCUGUCUGUUUAAAACAUGUUGUCUGGUUGGUAAGUCAAGUGGAGAGCACGGAUUUAGGUCAUCCCUCCCUGUGACUCAAUAGAAAUACAUGCCAGGGAUGAGGGCAAGAGGAUGAGCCGAUAGGUGGAAAAGUCCAGAGUGAAAUAUCCUUUCUUUGUUAACACCUGUGUUGCUCGACACGGAUCUUCUUCUUUGCAUUGUACAUCCAAAUGAUAUAACAUCUAGACUAAUGAUUUAUGUA